CGGACCGGCGCACGGGUGCGUAACGCGUAUGCAACCUACCUUUAACAGGGGAGUAACACUGAGAAAUUGGUACUGAUACCCCAUAAUAUCAUAGAAGGCAUCUUUUAUGGUUGAAAAUUCCGAUGGUUAGAGAUGGGCAUGCGUUGUAUUAGCUAGUUGGUGGGGUAACGGCUCACCAAGGCGACGAUACAUAGGGGGACUGAGAGGUUAACCCCCCACACUGGUACUGAGACACGGACCAG
rnacentral:rRNA from 1 species